UACAGAGGUCUCAAGCGUUGUUCGGAUUCAUUGGGCGUAAAGGGUGCGUAGGCGGCGCGGUAAGUCGGGUGUGAAAUCUCGGAGCUUAACUCCGAAACUGCAUUCGAUACUGCCGUGCUUGAGGACUGGAGAGGAGACUGGAAUUUACGGUGUAGCGGUGAAAAUGCGUAGAUAUCGUAAGGAAGACCAGUGGCGAAGGCGGGUCUCUGGACAGUUCCUGACACUGAGGCACGAAGGCCAGGGGAGCAAACGGG
rnacentral:rRNA from 1 species